rnacentral:rRNA from 1 species
CAUGUCUUUUUGAUAAUAAUUUAAAGUCCGACCUGCCCUAUGAUAAUUUAUUAAAUGGCCGCGAUAAUUUGAUCGUGCAAAGGUAGCAUAAUAAUUAGUUUCUUAAUUAGGAACUGGUAUGAAAGGUUAAAUGAAAAAAAAACUGUCUCAAUUUAAUUUAAAUUAAAAUUUUAUUUUUAAGUAAAAAAGCUUAAAUAAUUUUAAAAGACGAGAAGACCCUAUAGAGUUUUAUAUUUAUGAAUAAUUUUUUAUUUUAAGAAUUAAUAUUUAAAAUUGUUCAAUUAAAUAUUUGGUUGGGGUGAUCGAAAAAUUGUAUAAACUUUUUUUAUAAAUUUACCAUUAAUUUAUGAAUGUUUGAUCCAUAAUUUAUGAUUAAAAGAUUAAAUUACCUUAGGGAUAACAGCGUAAUUUUUUUUGAGAGUUCUUAUUGAAAAAAAAGUUUGCGACC